AUUGAACGCUGGCGGCAGGCCUAACACAUGCAAGUCGAACGAGUGGCGGACGGGUGAGUAAUGUCUGGGAAACUGCCCGAUGGAGGGGGAUCACUCCUGGAUACGGUAGCUAAUACCGCAUACCCUCGGAUGUGCCCAGAUGGGAGUAGCUCGUAGGUGGGGUAACGGCUCACCUAGGCGACGAUCCCUAGCUGGUCUGAGAGGAUGACCAGCCACACUGGAACUGAGACACGGUCCAGACUCCUACGGGAGGCAGCAGUGGGGAAUAUUGAACAAUGGGCGCAAGCCUGAUACAGCCAUGCCGCGUGUAUGAAGAAGGCCUUCGGGUUGUAAAGUACUUUCAGCGAGGAGGCGUUACUCGCAGAAGAAGCACCGGCUAACUCCGUGCCAGCAGCCGCGGUAAUUC
rnacentral:rRNA from 1 species